GUGGGUGGCAAGCGUUGUCCGGAAUUAUUGGGGCGUAAAGCGCGCGCAGGCGGUUCUUUAAGUCUGAUGUGAAAGCCCACGGGCUCAACCGUGGGAGGGUCAUUGGAAACUGGAGAACUUGAGUACAGAAGAGGAAAGCGGAAUUCCACGUGUAGCGGUGAAAUGCGUAGAGAUGUGGAGGAACACCAGUGGCGAAGGCGGCUUUCUGGUCUGUAACUGACGCUGAGGCGCGAAAGCGUGGGGAGCAAACAGGAUUAGAUACCAUGGUAGUCCACGCCGUAAACGAUGAGUGCUAAGUGUUAGGGGGUUUCCGCCCCGUUAGUGCUGCAGCUAACGCAUUAAGCACUCCGCCUGGGGAGUACGGCCGCAAAGGCUG
rnacentral:rRNA from 1 species